CCUACGGGGGGCAGCAGUCGAGAAUCAUUCACAAUGGGGGAAACCCUGAUGGUGCGACGCCGCGUGGGGGAAUGAAGGUCUUCGGAUUGUAAACCCCUGUCAUGUGGGAGCAAAUUAAAAAGAUAGUACCACAAGAGGAAGAGACGGCUAACUCUGUGCCAGCAGCCGCGGUAAUACAGAGGUCUCAAGCGUUGUUCGGAAUCACUGGGCGUAAAGGGUGCGUAGGCUGUUUCGUAAGUCGUGUGUGAAAGGCGCGGGCUCAACCGGCGGACGGCACAUGAUACUGCGAGACUAGAGUAAUGGAGGGGGAACCGGAAUUCUCGGUGUAGCAGUGAAAUGCGUAGAUAUCGAGAGGAACACUCGUGGCGAAGGCGGGUUCCUGGACAUUAACUGACGCUGAGGCACGAAGGCCAGGGGAGCGAAAGGGAUUAGAUACCCCAGUAGUC
rnacentral:rRNA from 1 species